rnacentral:misc_RNA from 1 species
AACGUAGGAGGCAAGCGUUAUCCGGAUUUACUGGGCGUAAAGCGCGUGCAGGCGGUCUGUUAAGUCGUGCGUGAAAGCUCCCUGGCUCAACCGGGAGAGGUCGUGCGAAACUGGCAGACUAGAGACAGAGAGAGGCAAGUGGAAUUCCGGGUGUAGUGGUGAAAUGCGUAGAUAUCCGGAGGAACACCAGUGGCGAAGGCGACUUGCUGGCUCUGAUCUGACGCUCAGACGCGAAAGCAUGGGGAGCGAACGGG